CUUGUUUUGUUUUAUUUGGCAUUCUUUGGGAACCAAAUUGUUUCACAGUGUCCACAUAUUAAUUAACUACAUUUUGAUGAUUGUUUGGCGGACAUUGCAAAUAACAUCUACUUGUGUAUUCUUUAGAUAUCCUCCAAGAUAGUUCUGUGGACAGAUUAAAUUAUUAGGCCUAAUUCACGUCCGUUAACUUGGCGGUCCAGGCCAACCUGUCGCGCCAAUCUAUGUUCUGGGCCCCGUUGUGAAAGAAGAUGAAGGUGUGGCAACUGAUGCUAUCUGGUCUGGUGGUUCAUCUGAUUCUCUUCUACUCCAUCUUUGACAUUUACUUCACAUCCCCAUUGGUGCAUGGAAUGACUCCAAGUGUUCCUGAUUCCCCGGCACCCGCUAAGAGACUGGUACUGUUUGUUGCCGAUGGACUGAGAGCAGACCGUUUCUUUCAGCAGGACAGGGAUAGAGAGGGAAGGGAACUGUACCUCAGGGAUGUGAUUCAGAGCCGAGGGUCGUGGGGUGUGUCUCACACUCGGGUGCCAACAGAGUCCAGACCAGGACAUGUGGCUCUCAUCGCUGGCUUCUAUGAAGAUGUCAGUGCUGUGGCUAAAGGAUGGAAGGAAAAUCCAGUUGAGUUUGACUCGGUUUUCAACGAGAGCCGCUACACUUGGUCAUGGGGGAGUCCAGACAUCCUGCCUAUGUUUGCCAAAGGUACAGCUCUCACAGGUGCUACUGGCGACCAUGUGUUCACUCACUGCUACUCGUCAGCGGAGGAAGACUUUGCCAGUUUUGAUGCCAGUAAACUCGAUACCUGGGUUUACCAGAAGGUCAAGAAAUUCCUUUCUGUGGCCAAGACCAAUGCUACAUUACUUCAUCAGCUGCAGCAAGAUAAGAUUGUCUUCUUCCUUCAUCUUCUUGGCCUGGACACAAAUGGACAUUCUCACAAGCCACACUCACGGGAGUACAUAGAAAAUAUUCAUCUCCUCAACCAUGGAGUAGAGGAAAUGGUGUCUCUGUUUGAAGAUUUCUAUAACCAAGAUGGCCGCACAGCUUAUGUCAUGUCUGCCGACCAUGGCAUGACAGACUGGGGUUCCCAUGGAGCUGGCCUUCCCUCGGAGACACUGACCCCCUUGGUAGCUUGGGGGGCGGGGCUACACGGGCCUAGGGGGGCGGGGACGUGUGGAACCUACCCAGACACGUUCUGCACAGACUGGAACUUGAAUAACAUAGCAAGAUUUGAUGUUCAGCAGGCCGAUGUCGCUCCUCUCAUGGCGUACCUCAUCGGCGUUGCCUUUCCCAUGAACUCUGUGGGAGUUCUGCCCCUUGAGUACCUAGGUGUGUCGCUAUGGGAACAGGCGGAGGGGAUCUACGCUAAUGCACAGCAGAUACUUGCACAAUAUCAGGUGAAGAUGAGGCAGGUGAAGGAGAGGACUGUCUCGGUUGCCUUCCGACCUUUCGGGGAACUUUCCCCAUCAAAACAAGCAGACUACGUCCGACACAUCCGGCAGCUGAUCAAGUCUGGAAACUAUGCACAGGCAAUAGCAGAGAGCCGGGAGUUGAUGAGUGUGGGUCUGAAGGGACUCAACUAUUACCAGAAGUAUGACAGACUGUUCCUAGGGAUCAGUAUCGUGCUGAGCUUCGUGGGAUGGAUGGUGUACCUGCUGCAGCAGGUGCUCCACAACCACACCUGGUUCUGUGCUGGCAGGUCGGACAGAGUUGCCUCCCCUCUACACUACGUCCACAUGGCGGCAGCUGUCAUGGCCUCCAUCGUCAGUUUUCUCUUGUUUAUCCAGUCGUCCCCGGUCACCUACUACCUCUACUGCCUGCUCCCCGUGCUGCUGUGGACCAAAGUCGUGGAAGCUGAAGUUAGAUUACAGAUCCUGAAACGAGCUGUAUCUGCGUGUUACGAUAACAAGUGUAUCCUGGCAGUGACGGCCUCUGUUGCCUGUAGCAUGCUGGGACUGGAGAUAGUGGUCCAAGGCUUCUUCCAGAGAGAGCUGUUGUCCGUGGGGCUCGUCUGUAUCGCACUCUGGUCUGUGACGUCGGGGGUCUUCAACACUUCCAAGUUUUCGGCGUAUGGCUGGUUGCUAAGCUGCAUAUUGCUGGCAGCGUUCCCUCUCCUUCCCGUGGUGGGCCGGAACGCCAACUAUACGCUUGUCCUCGUCUCGGGGAUGCUGGCCUUCCUGCUGGGGGCAGUGAUGGUGUACAGACUGGGUGUGUUGACCAGCAGGGACAAGAACAACAACAGAAUGUCAGGUGUCAUCAUGGGCAUACAGCUUGUAAUGAUCCUUGCGGCCGUGGGACUGGUGAAGACGACGUCGGACGGUAUCAGGCAGCGGCAUGGGGUCCCAUCGUACAACCACCUCAUCAGCUGGGCCAUGCUAGGAUUGAGUCCGAUAUGGCCGCUACUGACCAGCACGAACCUCCCGGAGAGACUGGCCAGCGUGGGGCUGACCUUCAUCGGCCCCUACAUCCUCAUGAGCAUCACCUACGAGAGCGUGUUCCUGUUGGUGCUACUCAGUCUCCUGUACUUCUGGCUCCACAUGGAGCACGACCUGGCAGAGGAGCGCACCAGGAAGCUGUUGUCCCACACUGACUUCACUGCCAACACCCACCUCAAGUCUCACCGCGACACCUCGCCGGAUUCAAGAUGGCUGCAGCUGGCCGACCUCAGACGAGCAUUCUACUUUGUCUUCCUCACACUGACGGCGUUCUUUGGCACAGGAAAUAUAGCAAGCAUUAACAGGUAGGGAUGUCUGUAGCAGGAGCUCACCAGUAUCCAGUCUCUGACUCUCGGGACUUGGCCAAUAAUCUGCUUCUAACGUCUUUAUACUUUGUGUACCAGGUAAUUUUGCUGGAAUAUUGCUAAAAGUGGCAUGAAGCCAUACUCCAUCACUUUGUAUCUGUACGAGUAUUGUUAAAACCAUAGUUGCAUACAAGGAGUGGCCUCUACAACGUAUACAUUUAAAAUACAUAAGUUCCCAAGUCCAAAAAGUCAUUUGCAGGGUUAAAACUGACAGUUUUUGUCCAGUAGUCCUUAUAAUGAUAACAUAUGGCAAAACCCUUAAAAUGGGCCAAUUUCUGUUAGUCCUUAGGAUACCUUUACUAUUGGGCAGUUUGGUAAGGACUACAGGACUAGUGCCAAUUUCUAAAGCUGAAUUUGUAAUAUCGAGUACCAUAUCUAUCAACAUAUUGAGGCAUUAUAGAUAUUGCCCUUGCAAUGACUUUGCUGGUUUAGCAUGCCUGUAUAUAACAAAAUAAGAAUGAAAUAUCUACCUGCCUGGUCAUUUUCAUGUAAAAACUUUGAAUGUCUGCUGUCAAACAAACAUUAUAGUGUUCAACUACAAGUAUCUUUAUACAUUCAUCAUGCUUUUGUGUUACGUCAGUUGUUGUCUUGAUACUCCGUAUACUGCAAUAUUUGAUAAUAUAACUGUAUGUCAAUGUAACUCACUUGUAUAUGGGCAAUUGACCUUUAAUCCAAUAAACCAUUGAAUUGAAAAAAUUGACAGCUUGUCUGACAUUGUGAAAGAGAAUUGAAUAAACUUUCCUG
rnacentral:misc_RNA from 1 species